GCCUAAUACAUGCAAGUCGAGCGAACGGACGAGAUUCUUGCUUCUCUGAUGUUAGCGGCGGACGGGUGAGUAACACGUGGAUAACCUACCUAUAAGACUGGGAUAACUUCGGGAAACCGGAGCUAAUACCGGAUAAUAUUUUGAACCGCAUGGUUCAAAAGUGAAAGACGGUCUUGCUGUCACUUAUAGAUGGAUCCGCGCUGCAUUAGCUAGUUGGUAAGGUAACGGCUUACCAAGGCAACGAUGCAUAGCCGACCUGAGAGGGUGAUCGGCCACACUGGAACUGAGACACGGUCCAGACUCCUACGGGAGGCAGCAGUAGGGAAUCUUCCGCAAUGGGCGAAAGCCUGACGGAGCAACGCCGCGUGAGUGAUGAAGGUCUUCGGAUCGUAAAACUCUGUUAUUAGGGAAGAACAUAUGUGUAAGUAACUGUGCACAUCUUGACGGUACCUAAUCAGAAAGCCACGGCUAACUACGUGCCAGCAGCCGCGGUAAUACGUAGGUGGCAAGCGUUAUCCGGAAUUAUUGGGCGUAAAGCGCGCGUAGGCGGUUUUUUAAGUCUGAUGUGAAAGCCCACGGCUCAACCGUGGAGGGUCAUUGGAAACUGGAAAACUUGAGUGCAGAAGAGGAAAGUGGAAUUCCAUGUGUAGCGGUGAAAUGCGCAGAGAUAUGGAGGAACACCAGUGGCGAAGGCGACUUUCUGGUCUGUAACUGACGCUGAUGUGCGAAAGCGUGGGGAUCAAACAGGAUUAGAUACCCUGGUAGUCCACGCCAUAAACGAUGAGUGCUAAGUGUUAGGGGGUUUCCGCCCCUUAGUGCUGCAGCUAACGCAUUAAGCACUCCGCCUGGGGAGUACGACCGCAAGGUUGAAACUCAAAGGAAUUGACGGGGACCCGCACAAGCGGUGGAGCAUGUGGUUUAAUUCGAAGCAACGCGAAGAACCUUACCAAAUCUUGACAUCCUUUGACAACUCUAGAGAUAGAGCCUUCCCCUUCGGGGGACAAAGUGACAGGUGGUGCAUGGUUGUCGUCAGCUCGUGUCGUGAGAUGUUGGGUUAAGUCCCGCAACGAGCGCAACCCUUAAGCUUAGUUGCCAUCAUUAAGUUGGGCACUCUAAGUUGACUGCCGGUGACAAACCGGAGGAAGGUGGGGAUGACGUCAAAUCAUCAUGCCCCUUAUGAUUUAGGCUACACACGUGCUACAAUGGACAAUACAAAGGGCAGCGAAACCGCGAGGUCAAGCAAAUCCCAUAAAGUUGUUCUCAGUUCGGAUUGUAGUCUGCAACUCGACUACAUGAAGCUGGAAUCGCUAGUAAUCGUAGAUCAGCAUGCUACGGUGAAUACGUUCCCGGGUCUUGUACACACCGCCCGUCACACCACGAGAGUUUGUAACACCCGAAGCCGGUGGAGUAACCUUUUAGGAGCUAGCCGUCGAAGGUGGGACAAAUGAUUGGGGUGAA
rnacentral:rRNA from 1 species